UCAAGUGGAAGAAGUGAUCUUUACUCUACAAAAGGUUCAGUGUAAAGCUGUGUUGUGUCCCACCAGCUUUAAAACUCAAAACUUUUGUGAGAUGCUGAGAGAGAUCUGCCCAGGAAUCGACACCAUGCCAAUUGGCAUGAUCAAAAGCUCCAGGGUGCCAGAUUUGCGGAUGAUAAUUGUGACUGACAGCAGGCAGCCAGGGAUGCUUCAUGUGGAGGAUGUGAUGCAAGC